GUCUAUGGCCAUACCACCCUGAAUGUGCCCAAUCUUGUUGGAUCUCAGAAGCUAAACAGGGUCGGCCAGUAUAUUAUGGCCCUUUCCCCGCAUCAACAGGGAACCAUUAAGAACCAUGCAUU
rnacentral:rRNA from 1 species